rnacentral:lncRNA from 1 species
GGGUGGGUGAUUCAUGUUCCACAAUGGACGGAUUUAUCCCAACACUUUUGAGGCUGACCUUUUGAUGACAACGGCUUGUUGAAAAGUGAGGAGUCUUCCUUAUGGGAUGUUAGCUUUUUGCUUGAUAGCCCGACCUUGCUCAUAUUUUUCUUUCGAUGACUUCGGCCUUUUGAUGACCUUUUGAGGUUGACCUUCUGAUGACCUAGGCCUUGG